UGCCUAAUAGCUAGCCCAAACUAUUUCACCAAAAAUUAAUUAUAAAUACCCCCUAAUUAACUUAAAAAAUUUAAACAAACCAUUUUUCCACCCUAGUAUGGGCGACAGAAAAGGAACACGGAGCAACAGAAAAAGUACCGCAAGGGAAAGCUGAAAGAGAAAUGAAACAACUUGUUUAAGCCACAAAAAGCAGAGAUUAAAACUCGUACCUUUUGCAUCAUGAUUUAGCCAGUAAAACUCAAGCACAGUGCCCUUUAGUUUGAUACCCCGAAACUGAGCGAGCUACUUCAAGACAGCCUAUUUAAUAGGGCAAACCCGUCUCUGUGGCAAAAGAGUGGGAAGAGCUUCAAGUAGAGGUGAUAAACCUACCGAGCCCAGUUAUAGCUGGUUGCCUGAGAAAUGAAUAGAAGUUCAGCCUUUUAGAUUCUUAACCCAAACCAGACUUACCCAGACCUGGGCCCAAGAAACUAAAAGAGUUAGCCAACGGAGGUACAGCUCCUUUGGAAAAGAUACAACUUUAUUAGGAGGUGAAAGAUCAAAAUUAUUUACUAGGUAUAUUGUUUUAGUGGGCCUAA
rnacentral:rRNA from 1 species